rnacentral:rRNA from 1 species
UGAGGAACAUGACCUUCGGCGGGGGAGUAAGCCGGCCUAACGGCCGAGUAAUACCGCAUACGCUCUCGAUGAGGCAUUUCAUUGAGAGGAAACCUACGGGACAUUUCGAGGGGCUCGCGGCCUAUCAGCUAGUUGGCGAGGUAACGGCUCACCAAGGCAACGACGGGUAGCUGGUCUGAGAGGAUGGCCAGCCACAUUGGGACUGAGAUACGGCCCAGACUCCUACGGGAGC